rnacentral:rRNA from 1 species
GACGAACGCUGGCGGCGUGCUUAACACAUGCAAGUCGAGCGGUAAGGCCCUUUCGGGGGUACACGAGCGGCGAACGGGUGAGUAACACGUGGGUGACCUGCCUUUAGCUCUGGGAUAAGCCUGGGAAACCGGGUCUAAUACCGGAUAUGACUCCGCGGCGCAUGUUGUGGGGUGGAAAGCCUUGUGCGGCUGGAGAUGGGCCCGCGGCCUAUCAGCUUGUUGGUGGGGUGAUGGCCUACCAAGGCGACGACGGGUGGCCGGCCUGAGAGGGCGACCGGCCACACUGGGACUGAGACACGGCCCAGACUCCUACGGGAGGCAGCAGUGGGGAAUCUUGCGCAAUGGGCGAAAGCCUGACGCAGCGACGCCGCGUGAGGAUGAC